rnacentral:rRNA from 1 species
AAGUUCGCCGCCUGGGGAGUACGGUCGCAAGAUUAAAACUCAAAGGAAUUGACGGGGACCCGCACAAGCGGUGGAUGAUGUGGAUUAAUUCGAUGCAACGCGAAAAACCUUACCUACCCUUGACAUGCCAGGAACCCUGCUGAGAGGUGGGGGUGCUCGAAAGAGAGCCUGGGCACAGGUGCUGCAUGGCUGUCGUCAGCUCGUGUCGUGAGAUGUUGGGUUAAGUCCCGCAACGAGCGCAACCCUUGUCAUUAGUUGCCAUCAUUUAGUUGGGCACUCUAAUGAGACUGCCGGUGACAAACCGGAGGAAGGUGGGGAUGACGUCAAGUCCUCAUGGCCCUUAUGGGUAGGGCUUCACACGUCAUACAAUGGUCGGUACAGAGGGUUGCCAAGCCGCGAGGUGGAGCCAAUCCCAGAAAGCCGAUCGUAGUCCGGAUCGUAGUCUGCAACUCGACUGCGUGAAGUCGGAAUCGCUAGUAAUCGUGGAUCAGCAUGCCACGGUGAUACGUUCCCGGGUCUUGUACACACCGCCCGUCACACCAUGGGAGUGGGUUUCACCAGA